CUUUUCUAAAACCCAACCCGGGCAGGGUUGUGUGCCUGAUGGGCUGCGUGUAUUGCUGCAGGGUCGUCUGGGUCGUACACCCUCUCUCACGCAGGAGACGCCUACCUCGGGCUGCGCUCACUUGACGGGGAUGGCGUCAGCGUCACUCCCGCUGUGCAGCAGCAGCAGCAGCAGGUGGAUAUCCUGCACCAUGUUACACACCCGACGGCAGGCUAUGAAGAUCUGUCAGGAAGUCCUCUUUACACCCCACACCAUCUAAACGCUAACAACAGCUGGCAAGACAACACCAACCCUUCCUCCAUCACCUCUCCACCAGGACCACCUGCGAGCAUCCACUCUGACGACACCAGCUAAUGUGGCUGACGCUACACACACACACACACACACACACACAGAGCAUCUCAUCAUCCAGUCUCGCCCGUUCUCUCCUGCUCACAGCUUUCGUCCUUCACUCUAGCAGAUAUCAAAGGUCUUCCAUAGUCCUCAUUCCACUUGGUGUGCCAGGGUUCACACGCUGGACCAGACUGAAAUACACGCGCACACACACUCCUCGAGCAAAAGACGCACGUCACAUUUGCCGAGGAUGAGAAAAAAAACACGUCCUCCUCAAAGGUCUUCACAAAGGGUGGACUGUUUAAGCCCAACUCCAUGUUACCUUUCCUGUUUCGACCUGUCAUGAUGGGGAUUACGCAACAGCUCCCUCCUCGCUUGUACCAAAGUGCUGUCAACGGUUGUUGCACCUUCUGCUCUUCGUAGAACAACCUCAGACAACUAAACCACGAAAACGCCAUUCAGCCUGCUUUUUAAUAUGGCUUCCAGUCGCUGCUUCUGGCUUUCUCACAAAACAAUCUGUCCUGCAUUGUUCAACGUUGUGUUAAGCACAAAUCCUGUCAAUAACACUUUGAGCUGCUGGUUGGAUGGAGAGAGAGCUCCAGAUCCAUCAGUGUAAAGGUACGCUGGACAUUUGAACACUGACUAGCUGAUCGCAGGAGAGUACGGUGUGAAACGAGGGAAACGUGAAGAGUUCACCCGGUCGGCUACUACGUGUUUCCUCAGUCCACUGUCUCAACAGAGAGACUUUGUUUUUAAUAGUUUAGCUACAGUAUUUUUUCCUGCAGCCUUUUGUCCCCCUCAAAGAUGCACCAGCCACCAAAUAAAAGACUCGACAAGAACUCUUAAGCCCUUGUGUUCGGGAAAGGGGUUGGAUGGACAGCUGGAGUAUUCGUUUGGGUAUUUAGAAAUAUUUUUAAAGGGAAAGAAAAAAAAAAUAUUCCACUGUCUUCCAUGCAUGUAGGGUGUUGAGAUGUUUUAGUGAUUCCAUUUAGCCUAAUUAUUUUUUUUUUUGACAUAAAAAAAAUAUUAUAAAAAGGAGAGGGUGUGAGGAACAGACCAAAUAAACUUCUCCAGAAAUGAAAACGUCAUACUGCCCAAUCCAGUACUUCGUGCUGGUGUUUGGUGAUAUUUUAUCGCACGUUUUCACAACAGGCAUCCGUGACACACCGACCACGUUUCGCGAAAAUCUUUCUGAGGAGGCCAUAGCAGCUCACCAAUAAUUCUGACCACGUAAACCGUUAAAGAUAUCAUAACGUUUUUUUGGUCUGCUGUGUGCUAUGGCCUCUCAUGUUACUGUGUUGUGUGUACGGACGGGUGUCUGUUUUCUAAGGGUUGGGUCAUCUCAUCACUCACUCGUGCUUUUGAACUGAUUGUAUUGUACGUGCAAUUGAAAGCACCUGUUCCUUGGUAAAGCAUGCGGUCUUUUUUUUCUUUUGUUGUUGUUGCCUACAAUUUCACUAAACAAAGGAACUCUGUUGUUUUGUAGUCAGUUAACAUAGCCAAGCAACAAGGGCUUUUCUCCUUUCAAAUUUAACCAAAAAUAAGCACUGGAUGUGUUGUGAUUUGAAACAGAUGGACUAAAGCUAGUAGAGGAACAUCAGAUGAAUUUAUAUUAACUUUUUCCAGACAAGUCGUUUGUAUUUCCGGAACUUGUUUUUAUGUUUUGCGUGGGUUUUUUUUUUUUUUUUCCCAAGUUUACCUUUAGUCGCGGAAGGACCAGGGCGUUUUGAUAUAUGAAUGGAAAUUCUAUAGAUUACACGAAGGACUAAAUAACAUUGAAAUGUAAAUUGGGGUUUUGUUUAUAUGUACACAUGGAAAAACAAACUCUGAGGAGCUUUCCCAGUUAUUAUUGUGUUCUCUAUAGAUUACUGUUAGUUAUAAACAUUUCAUAUGGAUAUCUCCAACUAAUGCUAUUACUACACCAAAUUUUUUUUUUCUUCUAUCAGUCAUCUAUGGAUGUCACUGUACAGAUUGUGGAAUGUUUCAGUGUAUUUUCUCUUUUUGUAUGCUUUUAUUUUUGUUUUUUUUAAUCGCUGGGGGCUUUGGAUUCGCUCAUGAGCAAGAGUAAUAUUUGUUAGUCUUUGUAAUAUUCAUUUUAGCGUUUCACUUACAUUUGAUUUGGAUCGGGAGUCUCGAGUGUUAUUUUUGUUGUGUGUGGUUUUGUCAAAGCUGGUAGCAUUUGUUUGAGGUGCUGUGAAAAUCCCACUACUAACUGACAAGAAGAAAAAUAGGAAUACAUUUGGAGUAAAUGCAUAAGCUAUGUAACAGAAUAAGGAUUUUGAACACUACAUAUCAUAGGUAGAUUUGGAGUUCCUAAAUGUCUUUUUCCCCAAAAGUGCAUCCAUAGAAUCUGUUUGGAAACUUGGGGUUAUGAUCCGAGGUGGAUUCCACAGCACCGUAUCAAAUGACAUCAGCAUUUUUUCUCGAUUUUUAUCAUUAUUUUACUAGAAUUGUAGUACACGCUUCCUUCUGUAUUUACCAUUCUCUCCCUCCUCUCUACCUCUCCUCUCUCCAUUUCACUUGUAUAUAAACCCCACCAUUUUCAGACUUGGUAGUCUGUAUAAACUCCUUUUAUACCUCAACUUUAGAACUGUUCUAGUGAGAGAGGAAAAAAAGAAAAAUAUGAGAAAAUUGUAGUGUUCCUUAUUAGAAAAACUAAAACUAAUAAAAUAAUCUAGUGUGCUUUUGA